AUGCAACAUACUCCCUCCGUCCCAAAAUAUGAAGAGCGUUUUUGACUCUAGUCAAAAGCGCUAUUAUAUUAUGGGACGGAGGGAGUAGAUUACCUGGACGAUCUGGACGAUCUGGCAGAGUUCUUCCCGCCGGAGUGGAUCGAGGAAAGGAACUGUGCCCACGCUGAUAGUGUAAAGCUUUUCAAGAAGCUGGACGAUGACUUUGAGGUGUACCGACAGGAGGUCAUCGCGUCUGUGAGGGAGAAGGGCUACUUCGAGGUCGACGAAGACUUCAUCGCCAACAGGAAAAGGGACAAUGAGUUGGGUCUCGAACUACAGACGAGGAUUGCCUCGGCUAAUCCCCGCAGCCGCAACCUAGCCAAAAUGAGGAUACUAAGCUGCUUCGGGAUCCGCGCGAGACCUGCUCAGCCUGCUCCUGCGAAGAAUCAACCCGUCGUGACGGCCAGCGUCGGCGUGAACAACGUCCCCGCGGCUGGCGAGGGCGGAGCCGACCCACCUAACGGCUACAAGGAAUGCCACCUGCCGGCAUGCCGCCUGCGCGGGAGCCCUCGACUCGCACCCGUCGCCGAGGAAUCGGAGGGCUCCGGUGCGGCAGUGCGCGCGGCGUGGCGCGGGGCGUACGGGGCGGCGGGGAAGCCGCGGGAGCACGCGGUGACCAUGCAGGACACCGUGUCGAUGCGGCCGUCCUUCUGCACUUGGGUCGACGGCUCGCGCAUGCACUUCUUCGCCGUCUUCGACGGCCACGUCGGCCCCGUGGUGUCGGUGGUGCUGAGGGACCACAUGCACGCGAUCCUGGCGGACGAGCUGAUCCGCGCGGCCGCAGCCUACCGGAAGAAGCAGCAGCAAGACGAAGAGGCGGAGCUGUGCGCGUGGAAGGGCGCGCUGAGGCGGAGCUUCGCGCGGGCGGAUGAGCUGGCGGCGUCGGGGGUGCCGCCGGGCACUACCAUGGGGUCCACGGCCGUGGUGGCGCUCGUGGUCCGCGGCCGCAUCCUCGUGGCCAACUGCGGCGACUCCCGCGCCGUGCUCUGCCGCUCUGGCCGCGCCGUCCCGCUCUCCCAGGACAACAAGCUGGCACGGACGGACGAGCUGGCGGCGGCCGGCGGCGUGAUGUACCACUACGACGGGGUGCCGCGCGUGCAGGGGAUCCUUAGCAGGUCGCGAGCUUUAGGGCAUACAUUCCUCAAUCCUCAAAUGACAUGUGAGCCUGAUAUUACCAUAACCACAAGGACGGACGACGACGACUGCCUGAUCCUCGCAAGCAACGGGUUGUGGGAUGUGAUCUCAAACCAGAAGGCAUGCAACGUCGCUAAGAAGUGCCUGGAAGACAAGAGCAAGUGUGCGAACGCGCCGGUAGGAAAGGAGGAAGAGGUUCGCUGUGUCUGUGCUGCUAUCCGCCUAUCAAAUCUUGCCAUCAACGAGCAUAGCCUCGAUGACAUCAGCGUGGUCGUGCUUGAUCUGAAGGUGAGGGGUUAG
rnacentral:rRNA from 1 species